rnacentral:rRNA from 1 species
GAUGAACGCUGGCGGCGUGCCUAAUACAUGCGAGUCGAGCGAACGGACGAGAAUCUUGCUCCUCUGACGUUAGCGGCGGACGGGUGAGUAACACGUGGAUAACCUACCUAUAAGACUGGGAUAACUUCGGGAAACCGGAGCUAAUACCGGAUAAUAUAUUGAACCGCAUGGUUCAAUAGUGAAAGACGGUCUUGCUGUCACUUAUAGAUGGAUCCGCGCUGUAUUAGCUAGUUGGUAAGGAAACGGCUUACCAAGGCAACGAUGGGUAACCGACCUGAGGGGGAGGUCGGCCCCCCUGGAAGUGAGGCAGCGUCCCGGCUCCUUCGGGGGGGCACAGUUGGGAAUCUUACGCGAUGGGGGGAAACCUUGCGGAGCAACGGCGAGUGGGUUAUGAAGGUCCUCCGGUCCGAAAAAUCUGGUUGUCGGGAAGAACCAAUGUGUUAUUAACCGUGGCCAUCUUGACCGUAACCGGUGAAAAAGCCCCGGCUAACUACGUG